rnacentral:pre_miRNA from 1 species
GAGCGGCUGUUGAACUAGUACCGACCUUUGAUAAUUACCCAACAGACAGUUCGUGUAUUCAAGUUCAAAUAGCCGCAUUUG